AUGCGAACCAUCUCUGCGAAUGUUUGGGAGCGCUGUGUGCACGGGCACCAUUUUUGCUGUGUUUGGGGCCAGUCUGGGGGUCUGCAUACGAGGAGGUGCAAGGUUCUCAUUUACAGGGAAAACCCAGAGGAGGAGGAGACGCCGCAGCAAGAAGUGCGUGGGGUCACAGCACAUAUGGACAGAAGAAAAAAGAAUGUUUCAUCCCCUCCUAAUAGGCUUGAAAGUGGAUUUUUGCUGCUUGGAAGGAAAGGCAAGCUUUGGUGGUGCUUUCCGUGGCACGUGUGGAUGGAGGCAAGUUCAUCACAACAGCCUCAAGAACCCCAAGCAGCAGCAAACAUCACGCUAAAAGUUAUCCACGUUUUACCCCUCCUGAGCCCAGCAGCUAUGGCUUGUGGAGCUCAUCACAUCAGGGCUGAGGUCUGGCCAGAUGCAUCCUCAGGGCAUUGCCUGGUUUUUGUGAUGCUGAGACCAGAAAUCUCUCAGGCAGGGGGCUUCAGGCAACCAGGCUGAGGAAAAGGGGAGCUCGAGAGAAGGCCAAAGCCCUCCAGGUGACAUGCUGGAGAAAUUCGGUGUUUACUGGAAAAGAAUUGCUGCUUGAUGAGCAGAGCAUAAAGGAGGGCAGGAGGGUGGCGGCAUAUUCAUACGUUAUAAGGUGAUUAUCUGCUCUCACGUCCCGUGUAAAAUGUGCCUGGGGACUUUUUUCUAUUUGAACUGAAGCUUUAGGUCUCGCGGAAUAAAAUGCCUCUUCAAAUCA
rnacentral:lncRNA from 1 species